UACAGAGGGGGCAAGCGUUGUUCGGAAUUACUGGGCGUAAAGGGCGCGUAGGCGGCCUUCUAAGUCGAACGUGAAAUCCCCGGGCUCAACCCGGGAACUGCGUCCGAUACUGGAAGGCUUGAAUCCGGGAGAGGGAUGCGGAAUUCCAGGUGUAGCGGUGAAAUGCGUAGAUAUCAGGAGGAACACCAAUAGCGAAGGCAGCUCGCUGGGACGGUACUGACGCUAAGGCGCGAAAGCGUGGGGAGCGAACAGG
rnacentral:rRNA from 1 species